rnacentral:misc_RNA from 1 species
GAUGAAGAACGCAGCGAAAUGCGAUACGUAGUGUGAAUUGCAGAAUUCAGUGAAUCAUCGAAUCUUUGAACGCACAUUGCGCCCUUUGGUAUUCCAAAGGGCAUGCCUGUUCGAGCGUCAUUUGUACCCUCAAGCUUUGCUUGGUGUUGGGCGUCUUGUCUCCAGUCCGCUGGAGACUCGCCUUAAAGUCAUUGGCAGCCGGCCUACUGGUUUCGGAGCGCAGCACAAGUCGCACUCUUUUCCAGCCAAGGUCAGCGUCCAACAAGCCUUUUUUCAACUUUUGACCUCGGAUCAGGUGGGGAUACCCGCUGAACUUAAGCAUAUCAAUAAGCGGAGGA